UAUAAUCCAGACUCUAAUGGUAGAUGGAUGUAUUCAAAGAAGUUUAAGAUGUCAACGUGUGCUCGGAAGCGUCUCAGCCACUAUGUUCAGUCAGUUAAGCCUGCUAUAUGCCACUACGUCUGUGAAAUAAACAAGACUUUUGCCAAGCCCGGGCAGAGAAUGUACUUCUCUGCUUUCUUCACUAAGAAGUAUCUGGUGGAUUUCAUUACCACUCCAGUCGAUGGGGUAAAGAUCAAGCUAUCAUCUGGACGGUGUGCAAGACAGGUUCGCCUUAUUAAUGGUGUGGACAAUAGGGCCACCAUAACACUAACUGGAGUGACUUUGCAAAGAAAGCAAAGAUGACAAAAGGGGAAAUAUGUGUUUUCUCCCUUCGAGCUCGCAAUGGGAAACCAGAAUUCACCGUUCACAAGAUCUAAGAAGGUGUCUACAAGGCAGCAUUUAAGGAGGAGUAUGCCAAGGUGUUCCAGAAGGGCAUGUA